rnacentral:rRNA from 1 species
UACGGAGGGGGCUAGCGUUGUUCGGAAUUACUGGGCGUAAAGCGCGCGUAGGCGGACCUGCAAGUCAGGGGUGAAAUCCUGGAGCUCAACUCCAGAACUGCCUUUGAUACUGAGGAUCUUGAGUUCGGGAGAGGUGAGUGGAACUGCGAGUGUAGAGGUGAAAUUCGUAGAUAUUCGCAAGAACACCAGUGGCGAAGGCGGCUCACUGGCCCGAUACUGACGCUGAGGCACGAAAGCGUGGGGAGCAAACAGG